GACGAACGCUGGCGGCGUGCCUAAUACAUGCAAGUCGAACGAAGCUUUUUUAACUGGUGCUUGCACCGACUUAAACAGCUGAGUGGCGAACGGGUGAGUAACACGUGGGUAACCUGCCCCAAAGCGGGGGAUAACAUUUGGAAACAGAUGCUAAUACCGCAUAACCACAGAAACCACAUGGUUUCUGUGUCAAAGAUGGUUUCGGCUAUCACUUUGGGAUGGACCCGCGGCGUAUUAGCUAGUUGGUAAGGUAAUGGCUUACCAAGGCAAUGAUACGUAGCCGAACUGAGAGGUUGAUCGGCCACAUUGGGACUGAGACACGGCCCAAACUCCUACGGGAGGCAGCAGUAGGGAAUCUUCCACCAUGGACGAAAGUCUGAUGGAGCAACGCCGCGUGAGUGAAGAAGGUUUCGGAUCGUAAAACUCUGUUGUCAGAGAAGAACGUGUGCGAGAGUAACUGUUCGUGCAGUGACGGUAUCUGGCCAGAAAGCCACGGCUAACUACGUGCCAGCCGCCGCAGUAA
rnacentral:rRNA from 1 species